rnacentral:rRNA from 1 species
CUACGGGAGGCUGCAGUGGGGAAUAUUGGACAAUGGGGGAAACCCUGAUCCAGCAAUGCCGCGUGUGUGCAGAAGGCCUGCGGGUUGUAAAGCACUUUCGGUUGGGAGGACUGCUUCUAGCACUAAUAUUGUUGGAAGUUGACGUUACCUUCAGAAGAAGCACCGGCUAACUCCGUGCCAGCAGCCGCGGUAAUACGGAGGGUGCAAGCGUUAAUCGGAAUUACUGGGCGUAAAGCGCGCGUAGGCGGCUAGAUCAGUCGGGUGUGAAAGCCCCGGGCUUAACCUGGGAACUGCAUCCGAUACUGUCUAGCUUGAGUACAGGAGAGGAGAGUGGAAUUCCACAUGUAGCGGUGAAAUGCGUAGAUAUGUGGAGGAACACCAAUGGCGAAGGCAGCUCUCUGGCCUGAUACUGACGCUGAGGUGCGAAAGCAUGGGGAGCAAACAGGAUUAGAUACCCUCGUAGUC